rnacentral:rRNA from 1 species
GUAUAUAUAUAUAUCACGUUGAAAACACUAGUUCUCGUAGAAUCACCGAAAUUAAGUAACGACGAGCCUAGUUAGUACUUGGUUAACCGCUUCAGAAAACCUUGGUGCUGUAAACA